ensembl:lncRNA
UUCUUUUUUUUCUAUUUUGUUAUUUUUUCUUUAUUGUAAUCAUUAAUCAGUAUAUUCAAAAGUUUAAGAAACAACCACAAAUGCCAGUGUAAACAUGCUUCAGAUAUAUAAGUAAUAUAAAGUAUUGCACAUACAAAAGUCCUAUGUUUGGUAUCUCCUUACGGUGCUGUUUCAUCAGAGUAAGAGUUACGCAGAUGAUGUGACUGAGCUAGCUGAUCUUAUUUCUGAAGUUGCUACACACAACAGUUCAGUAUUUACAAAAGAUAGAAGCUCACUGUGUUUUUCAUGGAAGGAUGAUUUUGCCUGGAAUGUAUGGGAUACAGAGGUAUGCAAAUAUGGGACAGGCUUGCUUUAUGGUGGUAUUUAUCAGCUGGUUCCUCUACUCUACCAGGCGUCAGCUCAAACCCGUUUGGGGGAAGGGGUCUGUUAGUGGUUUUCUGGGGGACUGGGAAGUGGUCAGGCCUCCCCAUCCUCAGAAAACAGAGUGAAGCACCUCAGUUUUUUGGAGCAUGUAUCUCCUCCUCUUAUUGAAUCUCAUGGGCACACUGCAUCUGCUAAGCUGAAGACUCCAUAAAGAUCUUCUUGCAAUUUUGCCUUAGAUAUGAAGAUGGAACACACCUGCUCAGGUUUCUAGCUUCUGCUUGGAUUUCACAGGUCAGCCUGCCUGCAAGAAAUGGUAAAACUGUAAAAUCUCCUGUCAGACUGACAGAAGUGACAAUGUCUCAUGGCUAGUCCUGUCCCAAAGUCUUUGGAAGCAGAAGGGCAGUUAUCUAAAAGGAGACAAGAAGUUGCAGAACAGAUGAGGACAUUUGCUAAUUAAGAAGCUGAGAUGGCUUGGAAAGAAAAGGAGCUCAGGAAAAGGGAAGUGUGGUGUAUGUUUCAGAAAAUGAACAAUCCCUCCUGAAGUUUACCCAAUAUAGCUGACUUCACACUCACAGGCAGCACUGGAAGAUUCAAGCUUUCAGGCACAAAUUUGCACAGAGGAGAGCUUACAGCCCCUGCUGAGAUAAGGACCAUUUGCAGAUAGAAGACAAGGAAUGAAGCCUCUCUUCUUCAGAAUCCUCGACCCAGAAAAAAAACCCUAAACCAACCAAACUCUCCCCCCCCCAAAAUGUAUAUUUUUAUGCUUUACCUCAAAAUACCUUUCCUUCUUUUUGUUCAUGCUUGGCUGGCUGGCAUCCUCUUUUUCUGCAUAAAUACAAAUCCUGUCCACCUUCCUUGCAAGAAUUUGCUUAAGAAA